UUGUUUAAAUCCUGUUUUCGCUGUAUUAUUCUGGGGUACCGAGUGUUGCCUGAUGAGGAAAUAAAUGAAUUGAAAUGAUUUUGGCACAAGGCUGCAACAUAGCUAAAUGUGAAAAAAGUGAAGGUGUCUGAAUACUAAAAGCAUUUUAUUGCAUGCACAUGUUUAUAGUUUAUACCCUUUUCAGAAUAAUAUUCUCUUAUUUAAAACAUAUUUGCUGAUAAUCUCUAUUAUGACAUAGAAGAAGAUGUAAACUCAUUUUAGUGCAAUUGGUUAAGGAUCCAGAACGAUGGUGCAUGUCCCAAAUACUGUAAUAAGAAAUAAUUCCAGAUUGCUAGUAUAGUGAUUUUUUUCUUACAUUUCAAUUAAUCCGUCACUGUUACAAAUAAGAAGAAAGUAAUCUAAGUAACUGAAGACUGUUUGACAUCUGCGUACCAACAUUCAACUUUCACCUAUGACGAACUCCUGAUUAAAUAGUCUUCUCUCAACUCUAACAUAUUUUAAGUAAUUGACAAAAAUAUAUAAUAGAAGUUUGAAGUCAUUAAUCUUUAAAUUAUAUUUCUCAUUUUUACUUCUUCAGCCCAAAAGAAAGCAAGACUGCCACAGAGAGUGAAGCAGACAUUGCAGAUAUUUAUGCUGUGCCACAAAAGAAAAGAACCAGAACAUCAGAUUCAGUCAUUGAAUCUGUCUCUUAUGUGGACCAGCCUCAGUUGACCUAUGCAGAUAUCACAUUCAAGAGGGAACCCAGGAACAAAGAAAAUUUGAUCUAUCAGGAGUUACCAUCAUCAGAAGACUGCAUUUUAUGCAGAAAUACUGAACUAGAUGAGCCUGUGUCCACCAUUUACAGUGUUGCCAGAAUGCCAUUACAGUAGAGCAAAACAACAAUGAGAAACGCUGAUGUUUCUCUAAUGAGAUGAAUUUCUGUGUAAUUGGUUAAUACAAUUGGAAAAACUGGAGUAUUUAAAAAUGGAUCGUCUUGACGAAUGAACAGAAACAACUUUAUAGUGGUCUUGCUUAAGAUGGGCUUGAAAAGUAACUGCAACCUUUAAAUGAUAAAAUGAGAACGCAGUUAACUAAGGAUGUCAGCUGCUUGUCAUUGAGAGUAAAGACUGCAGAGAGACCUUGUUUGAUAUCCUAGAUAUCUCACAUUGUUUAAAUGUCUGCACUUAACUUUUAUAAAACAUUUGUCAAGUACUGAAAUGUUGUAAAUCUAGUCAACUUGGUUAACUUCUGUGAAAAAACAUUAUCUACUCUUUCUUUAUUAACCCUCUUUUCAAUACAGGAAUGUAGGAAAUGUAAUGACAGGCACAAAGUAGGAAACCAUGUUAAAUGGGAUGUAAUUAAAAACUAACAUAUAUAAUUUUAGAAGAAUGGUAAAAACAUAUAUAUAUUAUUGUGCAUUAGAUGGUCAUAUAAGCAGCCACAGAAGAAAAUCUGCUUGAAUCCUAAUAUCGUUAUAAAGUCAUUUUUCAAACUAUCCCCCAACAGCCCAGCAUUGGAAAAAGAAUUCACCUAACCAGCAGCAUUGGGAACAAGAUAUAAAUGAGACCCAUGUGGCGGGGCACACUCACAUGCACAUCCACACCAGCCCACUUUAUAGUGAGCAAAUAACCUAAAAUACAAAUCAUGUCGACACAAAGAGUACGUUAAAGGUCUGCACUAACUUCACCCUACCUGGUAUUAGAGCCAAAUUUUUAAAAAUAAAAAUUAUGUUUUGAUUGUCCUCCUCAUAAAUGUAAUGAACAUUUGGCAAUCUUUGAAACACCUAUAAGAAUGAAUACUUAGAAAAGAUGCCAUCAAAACAAGGCAGACUUGAAUUAUGGGUGUCUUCCAAACAUCAGAAUUACCUCUUAUAUAAUUAUGUUUUGUUUAAACAGUGAUUUAGAGGCCUCCUUAACUUUUGAAUCUCAUUUUUUGAAGCUGUAAAUAGUAGUUUUAUAAAAUGUGUUUUAUGCAAUCAUUCAAGCCACAUCACAAUGCUGGGGCUAUUGACAUUUCCAGUUGAUUAAAGUAUUCCAAGUCAAAGGCAGCCACAAUAUUUCCUUGUAUCUUAAUAUAAAAUUUACUAAACUGAAAUGUCCUUUUAGGGAACCAUUUGUAUCAUUAGCUGAAAUAGGGCUAUGGCGGUUAGUAGCAUGGGUUUGCAUCUUGAAGGACUGCAGCUCAUUCUUCUGCUCGGUUUAUGUUACAUACUUGGCAAGUUUUUUCCAUGUUUUUGUUGACAUCUUGCAAGAAUUAUGUUCUGUUCUGCAUCACAAAGGCUAACUGAUAAAUAUAAGUAGGCUUGUUGUUUGUAUAGGCUUGCAUGAAUGUGCCCUGUGACAGACUAGGUUUGUUUCUGCUGUCAAAAUGUAAUCUGCAUCUUUAUUCUGAAGGAGUUACCAGUGGAUGAACAGAAUUUCAUAUUUAGUGGGGCUUUAAAUGAUUAGUUGGUACAGUGAUUAACAUUGAUUGCCAACAGUUUUAGAUAGCUGGGAUCAAAUCGCAAAAAAAGAGGAUUUUACAUGUUCUCCUGAGUCUGCAUGGUUUGUGGUCAAGGUUUUUCUUCACACAACCUUAAGAUGUGCAUAUUAGGUUAAUUGUAACUCUAAAAUUAACUGAUCUACAUGAGUCAAGGUGGUUGCUAGUGCCUUGACCAUUUUUAAGAACAUAUCUCCAUGACUCUCAACAAAAAUAUUUCCAUUCAGACUUGAAUUAUGGGUGUCUUCCAAAUUUCAGAAUUGCCUCUUACAUAUUUUUUUUUUGUUUUGAUGGCUGAAAUAACAGUAAUUAAAAGGCUGGAGACUGGGUAAGCAGGUUAGAGAAUUGGCUCGUUUCAAAACUUGCUUUGCAGCCUCCAAUUACCACACAAAAUGCUUACUCUUUGCAAGCAGUAAUGGUGGGCAUAUAGAAAAAUUCUUCACUUUCCUUCUUUGUUCUUAUUUUCUCACAUAUUUAGAUGUCUUGCUGUCUUAAAAGAUGAAAUGCAUGUUUAAGGUGUAAAUUAUAUUUAUGAAAUGUCUGAGGGGUUUGGAGUAAAUAUAAUAGUUGGUUUGGCUUAAGAAUAAACCUCCAUGAAUAGAUAACCCACCAGGUUGCAGCCUUUUACUUUGCACGCAUGUACAUUUGUUUUUUAUGCCUUGGUUUUUAUGACCACAUAUGCCCUCGAUCAGCCAGGGUGAAUACAUAGUAGAAAGUGUGAAUGUGUCAACCACAUGGCUGCCUAACAGUAAGACUUAUUGAAAUUCAACUGAGAGUGCAGUUCUUUGUUUUUUUUUUAAUACUUUAUUAUUACAUUAAUCAGACAGUUCUCAUACAGUACAUGCCUGGCCAUAUUACAUAAAUAAAAUGUGUUUAGAUAAGAAUGUGGUUUUGAGGUGCAAAAAGAAUAGAUCCAAAAAAUAAAAAUAAAAAAAUUUUUUUGCAUGUUAGAUACAAGGCCUGACUUGAGUCAUUUGUGGUUUCAGCACAACUGCAGUUCUCUUGAAAACCUAACCUCCUGUGCUCUGACUAAUGUGCAAAUGACAUUUUAUAAAAAAAAUUUUAAUAUGAUGCAUUAAAAUUGUUUAAAUGGUCUGGAAUGGGGCUCAAAUGGCUAAGUCACCAAGAUGACACCAGUGGAAAUUAAGGGAAAGUGUAUUUAGGACUGAAGCCAGGAAGCACUUUUUUGCACAAAAAGUGCGUUAAACACAUGAGCCUGAUGGUCUGAACGUCCCCUUCUUAAUUGUCACAUUACUUAUGUUCUUAAAACUUCCCAUUACUUGCCAUUUUCAAACAUCUUAAAGAUUGAAAGUUAAGAUUAUUGGUGUCUCUUGGCCUUGAAUGAAUGACCAAAAGUGUGCAUUGCAAAUGGAUGGCACCACACCCAGAGCUGGCUUCUGUCUUGCAACUUUUGGUGCAAGGACAGCGUGUUGCUUAUAGUGAAAAAGUUAGUUGCAGUAAAUUAAAGAAGAGACUCAGAGUGC